GCCGCCGUAGCUCAGCAGGAAGAGCAUCUGAUUCGUAAUCAGAAGGUCGCGGGUUCAAUUCCCGCCGGCGGCU
rnacentral:tRNA from 1 species